GUGGUCAAGCUCCUAAGGGCACGGGGGGGAUGCCUAGGCGUCAUCAGAGAGACAGGCGUGGAAGGCUGCGAUAAGUCCAGGGGAGUUGCCCAACGAACGUCGAUCCUGGAAUGCCUGUAGAGACCCGGGGAACUGAAACAUCUCAGUACCCGGAGGAAAGGAAAUCAACCGAGACUCCCUCAGUAGCGGCGAGCGAACGGGGAUCAGCCUAAACCGAGUGGGACACCACUCGGGGUCGUGGGGCCGAUAACAUGGGAUGAGUGAGCGUCAGCUGAAGUCUCCUGGAACGGAGCGCCAGAGCGGGUGAUAGCCCCGUAAGCGACGAUGCAACCUCCCCUCUUCGGUACCCGAGUAGGGUCGGGCACGUGAAACCCGGCCUGAAUCGGCGGGGACCAUCCCGCAAGGCUAAGCACUCGAUGACGACCGAUAGCGAACCCAGUAGGGCGACCGAACGGUGGGAAGAACCCCGAUGAGGGGAGGAGACUGAACCUGAAACCCCGUGCCUACAAGCGGUGGGAGCGCGAUGUCUCUUCGGAGACCGCGUGACCGCGUGCCUUUUGCAUAAUGAUCCGGCGAGUUACUGUAUCCGGCCCCAGGUUAACCCCUUCAGGGGGGGAGCCGUAGCGAAAGCGAGUCUUCAUCGGGCGAAUUAGUCGGGUGCAGUAGACGCGAAACCAGGUGAACUACCCAUGGGCAGGUUGAAGCGACCCUAACCGGUCGUGGAGGACCGAACCCACCAGUGUUGAAAAACUGGGGGAGGACCCGUGGGGAGGAGUGAAAGUCUUAUCAAACCUGGAGAUAGCUCGUUCUCUCCGAAAUGGCUUUAGGGCCAGCCUCGGGACAUAUCACGCGGGGGUAGAGCGACGGAAUUCGGUAGGGGGGCUUCCCGCCUACCCUCCGAAACCCAACUCCGAAUACCGCGUGACGGACCCCGGGAGUCAGAACGUGGGGGAUAAGCUUCACGUUCAAAAGGGAAACAACCCAGACCGCCGACCAAGGCCCCCAAAUCGACGCUCAGUGGCAAAGGAAGUGGGAUCGCGGUGACAGCCGGGAUGUUGGCUUAGAAGCAGCCAUCAUUUCAAAAGUGCGUAACAGCUUACCGGUCGAGCCAUCCCGCGCCGAAAAUGACGGGGACUAAGCGUCGUGCCGCAGUCGCGGAUCAGGUUAAAAACUGAUGGUAGGAGAGCGUCGCCCACCGCAACGAAGCAGAAUGGAAACGAUCUGUGGAGCGUGGGCGAGUGCGAAUGCCGGAACGAGUAACGACAAGACAGGUGGGAAGCCUGUCCGCCGAAAGCACAAGGUUUCCUGGGGAAGGUCAAUCCGCCCAGGGUCAGUCGGGACCUAAGGCGAGGCCCAAGGGCGUAGCCGAUGGACAGACGGUUAAUAUUCCGCCACCCGAUGGUAAGGUUGAACGACAGAGGACGCCGGUUUCAGUCAGGUCGGGGUGCUAGAAUACCCCGUGCCGCAAGGCCGACAGCAUUCGAUCUGGAAGCCUGAUGCCAAGCCGGCCACGAAAAGCCCUGUCGGGACGAACCAUCCGGCCCGUACCGCAAUCCGACACAGGUGUGCUAGGCGAGUAUCCGAAGGCGUUCGGGAGAACCCUCGUGAAGGAACUCGGCAAAAUGACCCCGUACCUUCGGUAUAAGGGGUGCUCUCCGUAAGGAGAGCCGCAGAGAAUCGGCUCUAGCGACUGUUUAUCAAAAACACAGGACUCUGCCAACUCGCAAGAGGACGUAUAGAGUCUGACGCCUGCUCGGUGUCGGUAGGUUAAGGGAGCCGAUGAGGCGUAAGCUGAAGUUGGCGACCGAAGCCCCGAUAAACGGCGGCCGUAACUAUGACGGUCCUAAGGUAGCGAAGUUCCUUGUCGGGUAAGUUCCGACCUGCAUGAAUGGCGUAACGACUGGAGCACUGUCUCCACGAGGGACCCGGUGAAACUGUAGCCGUGGUGAAGAUGCCACGUACCCGCGGUCAGACGGAAAGACCCCGUGAACCUUUACUGCAGGUUGGCAUUGGGUCAGCGUCCUUUCUGUGUAGCAUAGGUGGGAGGCCGUGAUCCGGCGGCGCCAGCCGUCGGGGAGCCAUCGGUGAAAUACCACCCUGAAAUGACUCUGAUCCUCACCGGUCCGUAGCCCGGACCGGGACCAUGCUCAUCGGGCAGUUUGACUGGGGCGGUCUCCUCCCAAAGAGUAACGGAGGAGUGCAAUGGUACCCUCGGCCAGGUCGGCAAUCUGGCAACAUGAGCGCAAACGUAGAAGGGUGCCUGACUGCGAGACCCAUCAGUCGAGCAGGGACGAAAGUCGGCGUUAGUGAUCCGGCGGUGCUGGAUGGAAAGGCCGUCGCUCAACAGAUAAAAGGUACUCCGGGGAUAACAGGCUGAUCUCCCCCGAGCGUCCAUAGCGGCGGGGAGGUUUGGCACCUCGAUGUCGGCUCAUCGCAUCCUGGGGCUGGAGAAGGUCCCAAGGGUUUGGCUGUUCGCCAAUGAAAGCGGUACGCGAGCUGGGUUCAGACCGUCGUGAGACAGGUCGGUCCCUAUCUGCCGUGGGCGUAGGAAACUUGCGAAGGGUCUCCCCUAGUACGAGAGGAUUGGGGAGGACCGACCUCUGGUGUACCGGCUGUUCCGCUCGGGGCAUCGCCGGGUAGCUAGGUCGGGAAAGGAUAAGCGCUGAAGGCAUCUAAGCGCGAAGCCCUCUUCAAGACGAGGUUUCCAGCACGCAAGUGCGAAGGCUCCUGGAAGACGACCAGGUCGAUAGGCCGGGAGUGCACGGCGAGUGAUCGCCGCAGCCGACCGGUCCUAACAGCCGAUCGCUUGACCAC
rnacentral:rRNA from 1 species